CCUACGGGUGGCUGCAGUGGGGAAUAUUGGACAAUGGGCGAAAGCCUGAUCCAGCCAUGCCGCGUGUGUGAAGAAGGCCUUCGGGUUGUAAAGCACUUUCAGUGGGGAAGAAAGCCUUGGGGCUAAUACCCUCGAGGAAGGACAUCACCCACAGAAGAAGCACCGGCUAACUCCGUGCCAGCAGCCGCGGUAAUACGGAGGGUGCGAGCGUUAAUCGGAAUUACUGGGCGUAAAGCGCGCGUAGGCGGUCUGAUAAGCCGGUUGUGAAAGCCCCGGGCUCAACCUGGGAACGGCAUCCGGAACUGUCAGGCUAGAGUGCAGGAGAGGAAGGUAGAAUUCCCGGUGUAGCGGUGAAAUGCGUAGAGAUCGGGAGGAAUACCAGUGGCGAAGGCGGCCUUCUGGACUGACACUGACGCUGAGGUGCGAAAGCGUGGGUAGCACACAGGAUUAGAUACCCUGGUAGUC
rnacentral:rRNA from 1 species